UACAGAGGGUGCGAGCGUUAAUCGGAAUUACUGGGCGUAAAGCGUGCGCAGGCGGCUUUGCAAGACAGAUGUGAAAUCCCCGGGCUCAACCUGGGAACUGCAUUUGAAACUACAAGGCUAGAGUGUAGCAGAGGGGGGUGGAAUUCCACGUGUAGCAGUGAAAUGCGUAGAGAUGUGGAGGAACACCGAUGGCGAAGGCAGCCCCCUGGGCUAACACUGACGCUCAGGCACGAAAGCGUGGGGAGCAAACAGG
rnacentral:rRNA from 1 species